GCUUCCUCCGGCUCCUGGCGGGCCGGGCGACGGCGGUGGCGCGGGGCGGAUGCUUGGGGCUGCACUGUCGGUCCCGAGGCCUGGAGACGGGACUCGGUCGACACUGCGGUCAGACGAAAAUGGAACUUAAACGGCGCGGCCGCCACUGUGCUUAGGGUAAAGGGCCGGUUGGUCGUCUUAAAGACCUGGGGACGCGGGACCCCGUUAUUCAGGAAAUGCUUUAAACACAUCGAUUUUCCCUUCUUCCUUGUUGUCACCUUGCAAGAAAGUAAGUGGGAAAAACAAUUAAAUUCUGUAAUUUCAUGGUAACAUAUUCCUGAAGCUGGAAGGGGCCUCAAGAGAUGAUAUGGUCAAAUCCUCUGUGGCAGGAAGAUUUCACAGGAGAGAAGGAUAAGGACCAGAAAGUCAAGUGAUAGGCCUAAGAUGAAUUCUAUGAAAACAAGUUUUGGAGGCUUCUGGCUCCUUGUACAGUGGUCUGUGAUGAGACCCAUGUGUUCCCUCUGUGGUCAUCUGGGAAACAACGGGCACUUAUAAGAGACGGACCAGAGAGGAUAUGUCUACUUGUUUAUCGUAGAUUAAAAUCAUAGACGAAACAGUGGAUCUGACAAGCACGCGCAAACCAGGUCCAGACAUUGAAAUAUUCAAUCCAUCAUCUACAUCUUGUAAAUAAUAAAUCCACUGUGGUUUACAUACAAUGUUUAAUGCCCGACAGAUUAAUUCAAGAUACUGGUGGAGAUGUUGAACCAGAACCAUUAGCCCUCCAUCCUCAUUGACUUCCCUGGACCAUUCUGUUUCUCCUCUCCUGGAUUGUCCUGAAUGUAGAAGAAACUCCUCUAUAGCUUCUAAGCAAUCCAGUGCACUUACAACCACAAGUUUAAAUAGAGAUUCUGACACCGGGCAUACAGCCGGACAGAGAUCAGACGAUCUAUAAGGUUUGCAACAGGUCUCCCCUAGAUCAAUAAUCAUUUUCCAUCAAACAUAUGGUGUGAAACCCUCCACAAGGCCCCUUAACUGAAAAUACAUCAUCGAGUGGCUUGUGAAUUGCGCCAGCAAUUACUCCUGCAUGAUCAUAAUAGAAUCUUGCAGAUUGAAGGGUGGCAAGUGAUAUUUGUGUCAGGAGGUUUGCAGAAACUGCUCCACACAAGUCUGCACAUUCUGCUUUUUCAAUAACAGUAGGAUCACCCAUAGUGUGUACCACAACCUUUGUAACAUGACAAACAUCAACAAUUACUUCAACAGGAGUAUCUUUGGAGACAACAAUAAGUUCAACCCUUUUGUAAGCAACUAAAGCCUUAAGCAAAUGGGAAAGAUGCCAAAUCUGAGAUAAGGAAAUUGAAUGAAUAGUUGAGUGCAUUUGGCAACUUACUCCUCUAAUAAAAGACACCAUCUCUUUAACAUCACUUCUCCAUUUUCCUGCCUUAACAAGCGGCUUAAGCAUCCCGAUAAGGGAGUCAAUAUCUGGUGAUGAAGAAACUUCACGCUCGAUCUUGUCGAGCUUCAUUCUCCUCAUAACCUUCAUUACUUCUGGGACUGGAAUGUUAAUCCAGCAAGCAAUAACUUUGCAAUGAGAGCAUUUUGUAAUGAUGUCCCUGCAGGCAACAACUUGCUUAAAAUUCCAAUUUUUGAUGCAGGGUCAAAUAUUUGAUUCCCGUCUGAUAAUGAGAACAUGACAUUGCAUGUUCAUCGAAGUGUAGGAGAGGAUGUUGGUAUGUAUGCAACUGCCUUUAAGUAGGAUGACACCGGUCUAACCAAACUCCUUCGUAGGCUGCCUGCAUACCAGAAAGAUACCAUUAUUAGGUGUCCUGGUAGAGGUGCUAAAUGGCUCAAGUAAUGAAUCUAACUCACGGGAUUCCUGGUAUAGUGACAUGAAAAUUUCUACUCCUAGCUUAAAGCCUGCUGCAAUAGCCGGGUCUCCAUACCAGCUAGUGCAGCGGUUCUCAACCUGUGGGUCGAGACCCCUUUGGGGGUCAAACGACCCUUUCACAGGGGUCACCCUAAGACCAUCCUGCAUAUCAGAUAUUUACAUUACGAUUCAUAACUAGCAAAAUUACAGUUAUGAAAUAGCAACGAAAAUAAUUUUAUGGUUGGGGGUCACAACAUGAGGAACUAUAUUUUAAGGGCUAGAAGGUUGAGAACCACUGUGCUGAAGAGUGAUCUAUUGGAAUCCCCUUAUACAUGGGAGGUCUUGACAAGGAAAAGAAGUCUUCUUGAAUUUCUCUUGUGCAACCUGAGCAUGCAAGUGUAAGGUAAGUUUUAUUUGCAAGGAUUCCGAAGUGUAAUUGGGAAGAUAACAAGUUAAGUCCGUGUAGGAAAGCGGCUUGAAAUGGAUGGUAUAAUCGUUUUGUGAUUUGGCAAAGUCAGUCAUGUAGUUUGUGGUAAAACCUACAUGUGUAGAUAGAACGUUCAAGCUACCAGCAAGUCCAGCUCGAUCAUCAGAGGCCUGGGAGCCAGGGUGCCACCCAUUAUUACAGGAAGAUCAGGUGUGUGGACACCUUUUUCACUCAACAAAAUAGAUAGUAAUUUUGCUAAGUGUUGUCCUACAGCACCCUUGAUUUUAAUCCAGUCACAAAUUGAUAUUAAAUCUUCUGCCAUCUUGCCAAUGCGGCCUUCUGGUAGUCCCGUAAUUGCACCUCUGUUUAUUUUCACAAAUGUUCGUGAGCCAAUGUGAAGAGGGCGUUUUCCUCGUACCAUCCACUCCCUUGGAAACAAGUUGUUAUCCGGUAGAAAUAUUAUUGAUUGUGCAACCUCAAGCUCAGAUACUGUUUCUCUUAAUGCAAAUUGUUCAGCAAUGAAUGGCAUAGUUACUCCAUGAAGUUCACACCCCCAUGUUGCUAUCCGCAAUUUAUUAGCUCCUUCAACACUACACAGAGUUAAGUAAUCAAUGAUGUUUAAUCCUUGUAUUAGGAGCUAAGAUACUUAUGAGCUGAUCUUUAAAUCUUUUGCUUUCUUCUGUAAUGGAUCUCAUUGACAUGCUUUGACUGAUUCCGAUUACUGUGCUUGAUUUUUGGAAUUUAUCCAACAUGGAUAAGCCAUAUGCCGCAUUGCUCUUAGUGAAUAAGUAACUCAUUAACCUCGGGUAUUUCGGUUCCAUAUUGAAUAAGUCAUAUUGUGGCACACACGUAAUGACGUAAGAAGAUAAGCUUAGCCUGUUCAAGUGUCUUAAAUAUCACUGAUUUCUUCAUGUACAUCCUUCAAUUCUUUGAAAACAUUGUCUAUCUUUUCCUCAAGAGCUUUAAGUUGUGGUCCAGGUGACUCAGAGGGUCUCUUCAGCACCUCCACCAGUUGGAGCAGUGUGCUCCGGAUGCUACACCCUGAUUCUGCCGACUACGUUUGAGCCACUGACAACAUCCCCUGAACUUGGCUGACAGUUUGUUCCAUUGUCAUCUGGUCUAGUGUUACAGACUCGCUUGUGGCUGCUAAUUCCAUUAUCUCCAUUGUCUCUGACUCCGAGAUUAUCUCCUUGCGAGAUGUGCCUUCUUUGGCCUCUUUUCUGGCUUUCGUCCUCUCUGUUGGUGUUUUCUCUUGUAAAAAUCUCCUCAUCCUCUGCUUUGCUCCAGCUCUCGUCCUCGGAGCUGAGCUGGACAUCAUCCUGAUCACUGUCUAGCAAUCUGUCAGCAAUUAUUUCGAGUGCCCUGAUGAGGACUCUCAGCGACAUCGUGUCAUGUUUUUUACUAGUUACUGGUUUAUAGCCUAGUCCUUAAUUGCAUCUGAGAGCUUCGGUUAACGUGAGCAAUGCGGCUUCUAGGCUCACUGGCACGUUGCCUUGAACACUAUUGGUUGCUUCGUUGAUUUCUUGAUCUGUGGCUCUGA